rnacentral:rRNA from 1 species
UCAAUAAGCGGAGGAAAAGAAACUAACAAGGAUUCCCCUAGUAACGGCGAGUGAAGUGGGAAAAGCUCAACUUUGUAAUCUGGCAGCUUCGCUGUCCGAGUUGUAGUCUCGAGAAGUGUUUUCCGCGCUGGAUCGUGUAUGAGUCUGUUGGAAUACAGCGUCAUAGAGGGUGAGAACCCCGUUCGUGACACGACUACCAGUGCUUUGUGAUACAUUUUCGAUGAGUCGAGUUGUUUGGGAAUGCAGCUCAAAUUGGGUGGUAAAUUCCAUCUAAAGCUAAAUAUUGGCGAGAGACCGAUAGCAAACAAGUACCGUGAGGGAAAGAUGAAAAGCACUUUGGAAAGAGAGUUAACAGUACGUGAAAUUGUUGAAAGGGAAACGUUUGAAGUCAGACGUGCGUUGUGCGAUUCAGCUCCGGUUCGCCGGAGUGUAUUUCGUACUAUUGCAGGCCAGCAUCGGUUUGGCGAGCCGGAUAAAGGUUAGAGAAAGGUAGCGGUCCAGGCCGUGUUAUAGUCUUUAACUGAAUACGGAUUGCUAGACCGAGGGACGCAGCGCGCCGCAAGGCAAAGCUUUCGGGCUUUUCGCGCUUAGGAUGCUGGUGAAAUGGCUUUAAAUGACCCGUCUUGAAACACGGACCAAGGAGUCUAACAUGCUUGCGAGUGUUUGGGUGUCAAACCCAUACGCGUAAUGAAAGUGAAUGGAGGUGGGAUCCUUUACCGGAGCACCAUCGACCGAUCCGGAUUUUUAAUGAUGGAUUUGAGUAAGAGCACGUAUGUUGGGACCCGAAAGAUGGUGAACUAUGCCUGAAUAGGGUGAAGCCAGAGGAAACUCUGGUGGAGGCUCGUAGCGG